GACGAACGCUGGCGGCGUGCUUAACACAUGCAAGUCGAACGGAAAGGCCUUUUCGGAGGUACUCGAGUGGCGAACGGGUGAGUAACACGUGGGUGAUCUGCCCUGCACUCUGGGAUAAGCCUGGGAAACUGGGUCUAAUACCGGAUAGGACCGCACUUUAGUGUGUGUGGUGGAAAGUUUUUUCGGUGUAGGAUGAGCCCGCGGCCUAUCAGCUUGUUGGUGGGGUAAUGGCCUACCAAGGCGGCGACGGGUAGCCGGACUGAGAGGUUGGUCGGCCACAUUGGGACUGAGAUACGGCCCAGACUCCUACGGGAGGCAGCAGUGGGGAAUAUUGCACAAUGGGCGCAAGCCUGAUGCAGCGACGCCGCGUGGGGGAUGACGGCCUUCGGGUUGUAAACUCCUUUCGCCAGGGACGAAGCGUUUUGUGACGGUACCUGGAGAAGAAGCGCCGGCUAACUACGUG
rnacentral:rRNA from 1 species